rnacentral:rRNA from 1 species
CUGGCGGCGUGCUUAACACAUGCAAGUCGAACGAUGACGAUGGUGCUUGCACCGUCUGAUUAGUGGCGAACGGGUGAGUAACACGUGAGUAACCUGCCCUCCUCUUCGGGAUAACCGCCGGAAACGGUGGCUAAUACCGGAUAUGAAUGCCCGCCGCAUGGUGGGUGUUGGAAAGAUUUAUCGGUGGGGGAUGGACUCGCGGCCUAUCAGUUUGUUGGUGAGGUAAUGGCUCACCAAGGCGAUGACGGGUAGCCGGCCUGAGAGGGCGACCGGCCACACUGGGACUGAGACACGGCCCAGACUCCUACGGGAGGCAGCAGUGGGGAAUAUUGCACAAUGGGCGAAAGCCUGAUGCCAGCGACGCCGCGUGGGGGAUGACGGCCUUCGGGUUGUAAACCUCUUUCAGUAGGGAAGAAGCGAGAGUGACGGUACCUGCAGAAGAAGCGCCGGCUAACUACGUGCCAGCAGCAGC